CAGCAUCUACGUCAGAUCGGCCUUGACCCCAGCAAGCUAAACCCUACCACACAGACGGGAUGUUAAUGUUCAAAGUUUUUAUUUCUACCAUUGCCAUCCCCCGGGGGUGGAAGGGGUAGGGGGGGUAUGGUACACGUGGGCGUCAAGGGACUUUAUAUAUUGGGCUGAAUGUGAGGUUUUAUAUUAGUGUAACUGAUUCUUUUAAACUAUUCCUCCUGCCAAACAUGUUCUUGAUAGAGCCGCCACAGUGAACAAUCAUGUUGUUUCGAGACAAUAUUUCGUGCUGCGAUUAUUUUGCGUUUGCUUUUUUAUUAUCUGAAAAAAAACUAUAAACAACCCACAAAGCUCUUUAUAUUUGUUCCAUUUUGUUCUAAAGCAUAAUAAAUUUUUUUUUUAAACACC
rnacentral:misc_RNA from 1 species